UUCCUCAGAGCUGGCUGAGCAGCUGGUGCUGCUGCUGGAGCUGUACAGUGCUCAGGACGUCCAUGAUUAUCUGCGGCCGCUGGCGCUCUGUGUGUGU